AACGAACGCUGGCGGCAGGCUUAACACAUGCAAGUCGAGCGCCCCGCAAGGGGAGCGGCAGACGGGGGAGUAACACGUGGGAAUCUACCCAUCCCUACGGAACAACUCCGGGAAACUGGAGCUAAUACCGUAUACGCCCUUCGGGGGAAAGAUUUAUCGGGGAUGGAUGAGCCCGCGUUGGAUUAGCUAGUUGGUGGGGUAAAGGCCUACCAAGGCGACGAUCCAUAGCUGGUCUGAGAGGAUGAUCAGCCACAUUGGGACUGAGACACGGCCCAAACUCCUACGGGAGGCAGCAGUGGGGAAUAUUGGACAAUGGGCGCAAGCCUGAUCCAGCCAUGCCGCGUGAGUGAUGAAGGCCUUAGGGUUGUAAAGCUCUUUCACCGAUGAAGAUAAUGACGGUAGUCGGAGAAGAAGCCCGGCUAACUUCGGGCCAGCAGCCGCAGUAA
rnacentral:rRNA from 1 species